rnacentral:rRNA from 1 species
AUACGGGGGGUGCAAGCGUUAUGCGGAUUUAUUGGGCGUAAAGGGCGCGUAGGCGGCUUGGAAAGUCAGAUGUGAAAGCCCGGGGCUCAACCCCGGAAGUGCAUUUGAAACUAUCAGGCUUGAGUAUGGGAGAGGGAAGUGGAAUUCCUGGUGUAGAGGUGAAAUUCGUAGAUAUCAGGAGGAACACCGGUGGCGAAGGCGACUUCCUGGACCAAUACUGACGCUGAGGCGCGAAGGCGUGGGGAGCAAACAGGAUUAGAUACCCCUGUAGUCC